UUGAGACGCGGCAUACGGCUCAGUAACACGUGGCUAACCUACCCUCAGGACGGGGACAAACCCGGGAAACUGGGGCUAAUAUCCGAUAGGCGAGGAAUCCUGGAAUGGUUCUUCACCCAAAGGACAUUGGAAACAUGCUUUCUCUGUCGCCUGGGGAUGGGGCCGCGUCCGAUCAGGUUGUUGGUGAGGUAAUGGCUCACCAAGCCUUUAACCGGUACGGGCCGUGAGAGCGGUAGCCCGGAGAUGGGUACUGAGACAAGGACCCAGGCCCUACGGGGCGCAGCAGUCGCGAAAACUCCGCAAUGCACGAAAGUGUGACGGGGCUACCCCGAGUGCCGUCCGCUGAGGAUGGCUUUUCCUUGGUGUAACUAGCCGGGGGAAUAAGGAGAGGGCAAGACUGGUGUCAGCCGCCGCGGUAAUACCAGCUCUCCGAGUGGUAGGGAUGAUUAUUGGGCUUAAAGCGUCCGUAGCCGGCUUAGCAAGUUUCCUGCUUAAUUCAGCGACCUAAUCGUUGAGCCGCGGGAAAUACUACUA
rnacentral:rRNA from 1 species